rfam:Schistosoma mattheei strain Denwood, Zambia genome assembly, scaffold: SMTD_scaffold0005496
ACACUGCUGAGGAGUCCCACAAUAGGACGAAACGGCCGUCCAAUGC